UACGUAGGGUGCGAGCGUUGUCCGGAAUUACUGGGCGUAAAGAGCUCGUAGGUGGUUUGUCGCGUUGUCCGUGAAAACUCACAACUCAAUUGUGGACGUGCGGGCGAUACGGGCAGACUGGAGUACUGCAGGGGGAGACUGGAAUUCCUGGUGUAGCGGUGGAAUGCGCAGAUAUCAGGAGGAACACCGGUGGCGAAGGCGGGGUCUCUGGGCAGUAACUACGUGGAGGAGCGAAAGCGUGGGGAGCAACAGGA
rnacentral:rRNA from 1 species